rnacentral:snRNA from 1 species
AAAAAGGGUUUCUGCGGUGCGUGACACGGGGGUCCCGCGGCUGCUCCCGCGGAAUCGACAUCAAGAGAUUUCGGAAGCACAAUUUUUGUGAGCGGGGGUCGCUGGUAACCGCCGGUGCGGCGCCCUG